AAAGUUAAUGUUAUCUUGUGCAUAUUUUCUUAUCUACGCAUUUGUCAUUUAAAAUGAUGGUAAACAGUUUGUUUGGGUGACGCUGCGCUGAUAUUAGCC